GACGGGGGAUCCUAGCGUUGCUCGGAAUUAUUGGGCGUAAAGAGCUUGUAGGCGGUUUGUCGCGUCUGCUGUGAAAUCUCAAGGCUCAACCUUGAGCUUGCAGUGGGUACGGGCAGACUAGAGUGUGGUAGGGGAGACUGGAAUUCCUGGUGUAGCGGUGAAAUGCGCAGAUAUCAGGAGGAACACCGAUGGCGAAGGCAGGUCUCUGGGCCACUACUGACGCUGAGAAGCGAAAGCAUGGGGAGCGAACAGG
rnacentral:rRNA from 1 species